CGUAGAAUGAUCGUCGAGCGACAGACGAGGAGCUUGCUCCUCUGACGUUAGCGGCGGACGGGUGAGUAACACGUGGAUAACCUACCUAUAAGACUGGGAUAACUUCGGGAAACCGGAGCUAAUACCGGAUAAUAUAUUGAACCGCAUGGUUCAAUAGUGAAAGACGGUUUUGCUGUCACUUAUAGAUGGAUCCGCGCCGCAUUAGCUAGUUGGUAAGGUAACGGCUUACCAAGGCAACGAUGCGUAGCCGACCUGAGAGGGUGAUCGGCCACACUGGAACUGAGACACGGUCCAGACUCCUACGGGAGGCAGCAGUAGGGAAUCUUCCGCAAUGGGCGAAAGCCUGACGGAGCAACGCCGCGUGAGUGAUGAAGGUCUUCGGAUCGUAAAACUCUGUUAUUAGGGAAGAACAAAUGUGUAAGUAACUAUGCACGUCUUGACGGUACCUAAUCAGAAAGCCACGGCUAACUACGUGCCAGCAGCCGCGGUAAUACGUAGGUGGCAAGCGUUAUCCGGAAUUAUUGGGCGUAAAGCGCGCGUACGCGGUUUUUUAAGUCUGAUGUGAAAGCCCACGGCUCAACCGUGGAGGGUCAUUGGAAACUGGAAAACUUGAGUGCAGAAGAGGAAAGUGGAAUUCCAUGUGUAGCGGUGAAAUGCGCAGAGAUAUGGAGGAACACCAGUGGCGAAGGCGACUUUCUGGUCUGUAACUGACGCUGAUGUGCGAAAGCGUGGGGAUCAAACAGGAUUAGAUACCCUGGUAGUCCACGCCGUAAACGAUGAGUGCUAAGUGUUAGGGGGUUUCCGCCCCUUAGUGCUGCAGCUAACGCAUUAAGCACUCCGCCUGGGGGAGUACGACCGCAAGGUUGAAACUCAAAGAAUUGACGGGGACCCGCACAAGGCGGUGGAGCAUGUGGUUUAAUUCGAAGCACCGCGGAAAGAACCUUACCAAAUUCUGACAUCCUCUGACCCCUUCUAGAAAAUAAAGAGUUUUCCCCUUCGGGGGAAAAAAGUGACAAGGUGGUGCAUUGUUGUCCGUCAAGCC
rnacentral:rRNA from 1 species